rnacentral:lncRNA from 1 species
GAAGAAGAGGAGGAAGAUGAAAGUCCAGCAUAUCGUAGGAGAGUAAAAUGGAACAUUCACUUGAAAUGUCUUUGGCAGUUUUUAUAAACCUAAAUAUACACUUAACAUAGGUCCUUAUAUCACACUCUUGGCAUCUUUUAGUAAAAGUACCUGUAUAUGGAUGUUCUUAGCAUCUGUAUUAUACUUCUGUUUUUAACAGAAAAUACUAGAAACAACCCAAAUGUUAUUCAGCAAGUAAUGGUUGCACAAUAUUACAUCUGUACAGUGAAAUACUGCUGACCUUGUGGACAAAUUUGAUAAACAGGAUGAACCUCAAGGGUAUUAUAUAGAGUAAAAAAGAAGUCAACUUUAAUGGGUUUGCCUACUGUUUGGUGCUGUUUACCUAACACUGGAGCUGGAGCUGGUAGUGCAGCCCGUAAUAAUUGCCUGCUCUUGAAGCUGAGGGAAGAUGCUUUAAGCUCAAGAUUUCUCUAAGCUACAGGGCAAGCUCUUCGACAAUCUUGACAACUUUAGUGAGACCCUGUCUCAAAUACAAAGUGAAAGAUGAAUAAUGUUAAUAAUGUAACCAGUUUCUAAUUUUGCUAUAGGGGGUACAUAGGAUUCCAUACUAUUUUUGCAACUGUUUAAAAUCUGUUACUUCAAAGUAAAAACUUUAAAAAAGAAAGUAUAUUAUAUAUUUGUGUUAUUGGAAGUAUUAUUCACAAUAACCAAAAGGUGUGGUUAACCCAAGAAUUCACUGACAAUGACAAACUAUGGCAUAUACACACAAUGGAAGGUUAUUUAGCAGUAGAAAUGGAUGAACCUCGAGAGAAGCUACAAGAGAUGGGCCCUGGAGACUGUGGCUAUGUAAAGUAAGUAUGAGGAAUAACUGUUUGGAGGGUACAAAGGUGUUUUAGAAGAUAAAGGGUCAGCUAGAUAGAUAGACAGACAGACAGAUAGAUAGAUAAUGGGUUAUUGCUUGUAUAAGUAAUACAUUAAUUUAAGUAUACCCCUUUGUUUGUUUUGUUUUCAUGUGUGAAUGUUUUGCAUGUAUGUAUGAAUGUGCACCAUGUGUGCACCUGGUGCCUGAAGCAGUCAGAAGAGAGGAUGUCAGAACUGGAGCUAUGGAUGGCUGUGAAUCACCAUGUGGGAGCUGCAAGCUGAACUUAGGUCCUCUGCAAAGGCAACCAGUGCUCUUAACUAUUGAGCCAUCUCUCUAGCAUACUAAUUUAUCUUUUAAAAAGGUGUAUUUGUAUUUUAUGUGUCUGUGUGUUUACUAGUAUAUGUGUGCAGGUACCUGAGGAGUCUAGAAGAGGGUGUCAGAUCGUCUGGAGCUGACAAGUGGUCGUGAGCCACUCAACAUGGGUGCUAGGAGUUGAAUUAGCCCAUGCUUUUAAAUGCUGAGUCUAACCUCCAAAUAUUUAUUUACACUUUAUUUCAUUUUGAGAGCUGGGGAAAUAUCUCAAUGGGUAAGAGCUGCUCUACAAAUACAAAAAUGAGGGCCCAAGUUUAAAUUUCUAGCAUCCAUAUAAAAAGCCAGGCAUGUAUGUCUAUGUGUGUCUAUAACCCCAGCAUUGGGGUACGGAGACAAGCAGAUCCCAUGAGCUUGCUGGCUAAGUCAGUUUACCUAGGAAGGUAAGCACCUAGUUUAAUGAAAGACAUUGUCUUAAGGUAAUAAGGUAGAGAGCAAAGGAGGAAGAAGACACCAAUGUAUUGCUCUGGACUCAAGAGCAUGCACAUGCACACACACACACUAGACAAGUAAAGAAAACCUUUUAAAACUAACAGAAGGCCAGGAGGUGGUGGUAUGUACCUUUAAUCCCAGCACUUUGGAGGCAGAGGCCAGCCUGGUCUACAAAGUGAAUUCCAGAACAGCCAGACAUAUACAGAGAAACCAUGUUUUGAAAAACAAAGCAGGUGGCUGGAGAGAUGGCUUAGUGGUUAAGAGCACUGACUGCUCUUCCAAAGGUCCUGAGUUCAAUUCCCAGCAACCACAUGGUGGCUCACAGCCAUUUGUAAUGGGAUUUGGUGUCCUCUUCUGAUGUGUCUGAAGACAGCUAUAGUAUACUCAUAUAUGUAAAUAAAUC